CCCUUAGAUGUUCUGGGCGGCCCGCGUACUACACUGGCACUCUCAAUCAGAGCCUGGAUCUAACACUUUGGGGUAUUCUAUGAAGUGGUGUCGUGACUGGGAUUAACCCUUGCAAUUAUUGGUUACGAACGAGGAAUUCCUUGUAAUCGCGGUUUAUCAGCCCGCGUUGAAUGCGUCCCUGCCCUUUGUACACACCGCCCGUCGCUCCUACCGAUGGAUCGUCCGGUGAAGCUCAUGGAGGGGCGGUUGUCUCAGCUGCCGUCGAAGUGAAAUGGACCUCACGAUCUAGAGGAAGGAGAAGUCGUAACA
rnacentral:rRNA from 1 species